rnacentral:rRNA from 1 species
CAGUAGCGUAUAUUAAAGUUGUUGCAGUUAAAAUGCUCGUAGUUGAAGUUCGGAUGCAGCAGAGCUUGGCAACGCUGUUAUGGUGCUUCCGUUGCUUUUGCUUGUCCACAGUGCGUUGCAAGUACGUAUGUGCUUGUGCGUGCAUUUUACUUUGAGAAACAUAGGGUGUUCCACGCAUGUUACGGCAUGAAUAUUCCAGCAUGGGAUAAUCUGGUACGACUUCCAAUCUGCCAUUUUGGUUCGUAGGUUGGAAGUAAUGAUUAAUAGGGACUGUCGGGGGCAUUGGUAUUUGACUGUCAGAGGUGAAAUUCUUAGAUUCGUUGAGGACCAACCACUGCGAAAGCAUUUGUCAAGGAUGUCUCCAUUAA